AAGUUCUAAAGGUGAGAUCCUUAAAAAUAAACUAGACCUAAAGACGAAAGAUGAGAAGAAUUAGUUAUGAUUGAGUGUUAAUUGUAAUCAAGUUAGCAAACAAUUAAACCUAAAUACCUACGGAUUUCUUAGAUCUAUAGUUAGACCUAAUAGUUUUUCUGACAAUGGUGCCAAAAAUUAAUAUGCUCGUGAUGUUGUUGUUAGGACACCAUGAUUAUCAAUCUAAUUCUGACUUUAAUAAAAAUUAAAAAUUCAUAAAAAGUAGCAAGCC
rnacentral:lncRNA from 1 species